rnacentral:rRNA from 1 species
UACAGAGGUCUCGAGCGUUAGGCGGAAUCACUGGGCUUAAAGCGUGUGUAGGUGGAUGCCUAAGUACCUUGUGAAAUCCCACAGCUUAACUGUGGAAUUGCUUGGUAUACUGGGUGUCUUGAGCCACUCAGGGGCUACCGGAACAAGCGGUGGAGCGGUGAAAUGCGUAGAUAUCGCUUGGAACGCCAAUGGUGAAAACAGGUAGCUGGGGGUGUGCUGACACUGAGACACGAAAGCCAGGGGAGCAAACGGG